UUAUAGAGUCCUGCACAUCUCCCAGGGAUUAGUGGGCCGCUGUGGGCUUAUGCUCCAAUGAUGCAUAGAGAGGAGGAGAAGCGAUGGACAGCCAUCAGGCAUCAGGUCUGACUGCCAGGGAACUACAAAGCAGACAGGACAAAAGACACAGCAGCGCCAGCACUGACCCACAACAUCCCUACAGCUGAUGCCUCUCACUCCAGCUCACCCCACCUACUGUGGUUUGAAUCCAAAAUGUCCCCAAGCCCAUGAUCUUGAUGUUUGAUCUCAGUGGGUGGCACUAUUUUAAAUCCUUAGGAAAUGAGGCCAGCUAGCUGAGGUAGAGCGAUAGGGUAGGCCUUUGACAGUUCUAGCUUAGCCUCUGAUGCAUCCUCUGCUUCGAAUGACUGCCACCACAAACGGAAUCUUUCCACCACGCCUUUCCAGGUGAAUCUGAAACCAGAGUGAACAGGAAUGAAUCAGAAUGAAGCCGCUAACGACAUAAUUAAGGUGACAGCAGGUCACAAAGAGAAAUGAAAGAUGGCAGAGUGUUUCUGAAGAACUCGGUGUCCUCUUCAACCAAAUGAAAGAUGGAGACGGAGCCAGCCUUGAGAACUGUACAGAGAUUGACACUCUGGUAUCACAGAGGCUCUGAUUAUGGUGACACAGAAUGAAGUCCCACAAGGGAGGCUGGGAAAUGUAGUUUAGCUUGUGUCCAAGAAGAAAGGCCAUGGGGCUUUGGGAAUAGACAGUUAACCCUGCCACAGAAAAUUAAGUCCCCUGCUCCCUCACACAUCCUAAGAGAGUUUCCAAACCUACUUUGCUGUUUGGAAACAAUCAGUCCAGAGGACCAGGCACAAGCUAAUACAGCCACCCACAUUCCCUUUCCCAUAAAGCAGAACUCCCUGAAGACAAGCAGAUUUGAGAGAAGGGAAGCCAUUAACCUCAGCGACUAUUGUCAAGUGCUUGCCCCGUGUAAGCAACUUAAAUGUGUCCACUCAUCCCUCAAAACAACGCAAUGGUAUAGCUGCUA